AGAGUUUGAUCCUGGCUCAGAUUGAACGCUGGCGGCAUGCCUUACACAUGCAAGUCGAACGGUAACAGGUCUUCGGAUGCUGACGAGUGGCGAACGGGUGAGUAAUACAUCGGAACGUGCCCGAUCGUGGGGGAUAACGAAGCGAAAGCUUUGCUAAUACCGCAUACGAUCUACGGAUGAAAGCAGGGGACCGCAAGGCCUUGCGCGAACGGAGCGGCCGAUGGCAGAUUAGGUAGUUGGUGGGAUAAAAGCUUACCAAGCCGACGAUCUGUAGCUGGUCUGAGAGGACGACCAGCCACACUGGGACUGAGACACGGCCCAGACUCCUACGGGAGGCAGCAGUGGGGAAUUUUGGACAAUGGGCGAAAGCCUGAUCCAGCCAUGCCGCGUGCAGGAUGAAGGCCUUCGGGUUGUAAACUGCUUUUGUACGGAACGAAAAGACUCUGGUUAAUACCUGGGGUCCAUGACGGUACCGUAAGAAUAAGCACCGGCUAACUACGUGCCAGCAGCCGCGGUAAUACGUAGGGUGCAAGCGUUAAUCGGAAUUACUGGGCGUAAAGCGUGCGCAGGCGGUUAUAUAAGACAGAUGUGAAAUCCCCGGGCUCAACCUGGGAACUGCAUUUGUGACUGUAUAGCUAGAGUACGGCAGAGGGGGAUGGAAUUCCGCGUGUAGCGGUGAAAUGCGUAGA
rnacentral:rRNA from 1 species